UAACAAGGAUUCCCCUAGUAACUGCGAGUGAAGCGGGAAGAGCUCAAAUUUAAAAUCUGGCGGCUUCUAGUCGUCCGAGUUGUAACCUGGAGAGGCAUUUUCCGCGUUGGACCGUGUACAAGUCUCCUGGAAUGGAGCGUCAUAGAGGGUGAGAAUCCCGUCCAUGACACGGACCGCCAAUGCUCUGUGAUAUGCCUUCAAAGAGUCGCGUUGUUUGGGAAUGCAGCGCAAAAUGGGUGGUAAAUUCCAUCUAAAGCUAAAUAUUGGCGAGAGACCGAUAGCGAACAAGUACCGUGAGGGAAAGAUGAAAAGCACUUUGGAAAGAGAGUUAAACAGUACGUGAAAUUGUUGAAAGGGAAACGCUUGAAGUCAGUCGCGUUCCGUGGAACUCAGCCUUACUUCGGUUUGGUGUACUUUCCAUGUGAACGGGUCAACGUCAAUUUUGACUGGUGGACAAAGACAAAGGGAAUGUAGCGUUGCUUCGGUGACGUGUUAUAGCCCCUUGUUGUAUACACCGGCUGGGAUUGAGGACUGCAGCACGCCCUUGUGGCCGAGGGGUUCGCCCCUACGUACCGUGCUUAAGAUGUUGGCAUAAUGGCUUUAAGCGACCCGUCUUGAAACACGGACCAAGGAGUCUAACAUGCUUGCGAGUGUUCGGGUGGAAAACCCUUGCGCGUAAUGAAAGUGAAAGUUAGGAACCUUCUCGCAAGAGAGGGUGCACUGACGCCCGGCCCUGACGUUCUCUGACGGUGCUGCGGUAGAGCAAGUAUGUUGGGACCCGAAAGAUGGUGAACUAUGCCUGAAUAGGGCGAAGCCAGAGGAAACUCUGGUGGAGGCUCGUAGCGAUUCUGACGUGCAAAUCGAUCGUCAAAUUUGGG
rnacentral:rRNA from 1 species